AAGCUCUGUCUCUGUGUUUUGUUCACAGGGUUCGGGUAGAGAGGGCAGGGUCACCUGUACCCAGCUGUCUGUCUAUGAAGAGUGAUCAAUCAAUGGGUCAUCGAAUGGACUUGAAAAGAGAGUUCACAGGUGAUCAAAGGGUUCGGGUAGAGAGGGCAGGGUCACCUGUACCCAGCUGUCUGUCUAUGAAGAGUGAUCAAUCAAUGGGUCAUCGAAUGGACUUGAAAAGAGAGUUCACAGGUGAUCAAAGGGUUCGGGUAGAGAGGGCAGGGUCACCUGUACCCAGCUGUCUGUCUAUGAAGAGUGAUCAAUCAAUGGGUCAUCGAAUGGACUUGAAAAGAGAGUUCACAGGUGAUCAAAGGGUCCAGGUAGGUUGGGCUGCGUCACCUGUACCCAGCUGUCCGCCUAUGAAAAGUGACCAUUCAAUGCAUCAUCCAAUGUACUUCAGUGGAGAGUUCACAGGUGAUCAAAGGGUCCAGGUAGGUUGGGCUGGGUCACCUGUACCCAGCUGUCUGUCUAUGAAGAGUGACCAUUCAAUGCAUCAUCCAAUGUACUUCAGUGGAGAGUUCACAGGUGAUCAAAGGGUCCAGGUAGGUUGGGCAGGGUCACCUGUACCCAGCUGUCUGCCUAUGAAGAGUGACCAUUUAAUGCAUCAUCCAAUGUACUUCAAUGGAGAGUUCACAGGUGAUCAAAGGGUCCAGGUAGGUUGGGCUGGGUCACCUGUACCCAGCUGUCUGUCUAUGAAGAGUCACCAUUCAAUGCAUCAUCCAAUGUACUUCAGUGGAGAGUUCACAGGUGAUCAAAGAAUUCCCUGCUCACCGGAUUUAAGUCGUUUAGACAAGGAGAGUUCAGAGAAACGUUCCCCCUUAAAACAGGUAUGAUAUA